AUGGAACUGAGCACACAAGCCCUGCGGUUAGUACUGUACAUUAUGAUAAGAAUCGCUCGCUUCAAAGACCCCCCUCGGGGAGAGGGUUGGGAAGUGAAACAUACGAACGAGUCACCCCGCUGGCAUAACUCAGUGCAGUGUUUGCAGAGGCAUGUGGGACAGAAAAGCGAAGCUCCUCCCCCCACCCAUUGCUACGAAUGCGCUAGGGAAAGUGAACAUAGAGAGAUUCCAGCACCACCGGGUUGGGAAGUAGCAGGGAGGGAACUCAGCAAAGGUUAUGGCAAGAUGCUAGGAUGCCUCAUCGACCCAGAAGCCAGACACAACAGCAAUAACUCUAGUAAAGGAUCACUGGAAAAUGGUCAGACGCAUGACAGCCCCUACUGCCCUCAGCCUUGGGUAGCACCAUGCACGGCAAGGUUCCAGCACAGCUCUUGGCCCCGAUGUGGUCUGAGAAUGGCUGAUGUUGGGGAAAGAACUACCUGGCUGAGGCUAACAGUUCAUCCCCUGUAAAGGAGAGAGACCAGCCCGCCCCCACUUCUCUCUCUGCUGUCACCUUGUAGUUACUGGGUGACAGUGGAAUGUAAUACACUACAGAGAGUAUUUUGGGCAGGGGAUCAAAGGCCUUUACAAGUCAUGCAAUGUUAUCUGCAUUAAAGCUCCACUGGGGGGAAAGUGACACCGAUAAGGAUUUGGGGUCUUAGGUUUAUAACCAAGUUGGUUUUUCAAGAAAACAAAAAUAUUACCCGUUUAUAGUACAUUUCUUCCGAUCCUACGCCACUGAACUAGCAAUUCUGAUUCUUCCCUUGUAGUCCUCCAGGCUUUACUUGGCCUUCGCCCAAGUGUAUGCUGUAGCUACAGUAAGACUGGACUGUUGUAUGCUUUACAGUACACAGGCUCCUCGAUAUGGGAUGAUCGAGAGGAUUGGGUUGCUGUACUGCAGAAAUCAACAGUGGAGGAUUUAGGUACUGGUCUAAAGCCCAUUGAAGUCACUGGGCGUUUUCCCAUUGCCUUUGGAUCAGGCUCCUUAACCAGCCUCUGCUAUUACAGAUGUUUCCCAAAAGCUGUGGGUCCUUAAUGCUCAUUGUAGAUCUCAUCUACCUAGGUUUCUUUAUAAAAUAAUAAAAUAUAUUUAUACGAGGAAAACUGUACA
rnacentral:lncRNA from 1 species